AGAGUUUGAUCCUGGCUCAGAUUGAACGCUGGCGGCAUGCCUUACACAUGCNAGUCGAACGGCAGCACGGGAGCAAUCCUGGUGGCGAGUGGCGAACGGGUGAGUAAUACAUCGGAACGUGUCCUGUCGUGGGGGAUAACUACUCGAAAGAGUAGCUAAUACCGCAUACGCCCUGAGGGGGAAAGCGGGGGACUCGCAAGAGCCUCGCGCGAUUGGAGCGGCCGAUGUCAGAUUAGCUAGUUGGUAGGGUAAAAGCCUACCAAGGCGACGAUCUGUAGCUGGUCUGAGAGGACGACCAGCCACACUGGGACUGAGACACGGCCCAGACUCCUACGGGAGGCAGCAGUGGGGAAUUUUGGACAAUGGGCGAAAGCCUGAUCCAGCCAUGCCGCGUGAGUGAAGAAGGCCUUCGGGUUGUAAAGCUCUUUCGGACAGAAAGAAAUCGCAUGAACUAAUACUUUGUGCGGAUGACGGUACUGUAAGAAGAAGCACCGGCUAACUACGUGCCAGCAGCCGCGGUAAUACGUAGGGUGCGAGCGUUAAUCGGAAUUACUGGGCGUAAAGGGUGCGCAGGCGGUUAUAUAAGACAGAUGUGAAAUCCCCGGGCUCAACCUGGGAACUGCGUUUGUGACUGUAUGACUAGAGUACGGUAGAGAGGGGUGGAAUUCCUGGUGUAGCAGUGAAAUGCGUANAUAUCAGGAGGAACAU
rnacentral:rRNA from 1 species